rnacentral:rRNA from 1 species
AUUGAACGCUGGCGGCAGGCCUAACACAUGCAAGUCGAGCGAGCGGCGGACGGGUGGGUAAUGUAUGGGGAUCUGCCUGAUGGCGGAGGAUCACUACUGGAAACGGUAGCUACUCACGCAUCCACGCACAUUAACCCAUAUGGGAUUAGCGUGGAGGUGAGGUGACGGCUGACCUAGGCGACGAUCCCUAGCUGGUCUGAGAGGAUGAGCAGCCACACUGGGACUGAGAUACGCGCCGGACUCCUACGGGAGGCAGCAGUGGGGAAUAUUGCAAAAUGGGCGCAAGCCUGAUCCAGCCAUGCCGCGUGUAUUAAGAAGGCCUUCGGGUUGUAAAGUACUUUUAGUCGGGAGGCGUUACCGACAGAAUAAGCACCGGCUAACUCCGUGCCAGCAGCCGCGGUAAUAC